rnacentral:rRNA from 1 species
UACGUAGGGUGCAAGCGUUAAUCGGAAUUACUGGGCGUAAAGCGUGCGCAGGCGGUUUUGUAAGUCUGACGUGAAAUCCCCGGGCUCAACCUGGGAAUUGCGUUGGAGACUGCAAGGCUGGAGUCUGGCAGAGGGGGGUAGAAUUCCACGUGUAGCAGUGAAAUGCGUAGAGAUGUGGAGGAACACCGAUGGCGAAGGCAGCCCCCUGGGUCAAGACUGACGCUCAUGCACGAAAGCGUGGGGAGUAAACAGG